rnacentral:rRNA from 1 species
GGGGAAUAUUGGGCAAUGGACGAAAGUCUGACCCAGCGACGCCGCGUGCGGGAUGAAGGCCUUCGGGUUGUAAACCGCUUUCAGCAGGGAAUAAGCGCAAGUGAAGGUACCUGCAGAAGAAGCACCGGCUAACUAUGUGCCAGCAGCCGCGGUAAUACAUAGGGUGCAAGCGUUGUCCGGAAUUAUUGGGCGUAAAGAGCUCGUAGGUGGUUUGUUACGUCGGUUGUGAAAUUCAGGGGCUCAACCCCUGACUUGCAGCCGAUACGGGCAAGCUAGAGUUUGGUAGGGGAGACUGGAAUUCCUGGUGUAGCGGUGGAAUGCGCAGAUAUCAGGAGGAACACCGAUGGCGAAGGCAGGUCUCUGGGCCAAUACUGACACUGAGGAGCGAAAGCGUGGGGAGCGAACAGGAUUAGAUACCCUGGUAGUCCACGCCGUAAACGGUGGGCGCUAGUUGUGCGAACCUUCCACGGUUUGUGCGACGCAGCUAACGCAUUAAGCGCCCCGCCUGGGGAGUACGAUCGCAAGAUUA